UUGGAUGACUUGUGGAUAGGGGUGAAAGGCCAAUCAAACCCGGUGAUAGCUGGUUCUCCCCGAAAUAUAUUGAGGUAUAGCCUCAUGGAUUGUCUACCGGAGGUAAAGCACUGACAGGGCUAGGGGUCCUACCAGAUUACCAAACCCUAUCAAACUCAGAAUGCCGGUCAGAUGUACCAUGGGAGUCAGACGGCGGGUGCUAAGGUCCGUCGUCGAGAGGGUAAGAGCCCAGAUCAACAGCUAAGGUCUCCAAAUCUAUGCUCAGUGGUUAAGGUGGUGACGUUGUAGAGACACCCAGGACGUUGGCUUAGAAGCAGCCAUCGUUUAAAGAAAGCGUAAUAGCUCACUGGUCUAAUGACGUUGCGCCGAAAAUGUAACGGGGCUAAGCAUAGUACCGAAGCUUUGAAUUCCGCAUAUGCGGUCUGGUAGGGGAGCGUUCUUCACGGGCUGAAGGUGUGUCGUAAGGCAUGCUGGACUGUGGAGAAGUGAUUAUGCUGACAUGAGUAACGAUAAAACGGGUGAAAAACCCGUUCGCCGUAAACCCAAGGUUUUCCGGGUAAAGGUAAUCUUCCCGGAGUUAGUCGGCCCCUAAGGCGAGGCUGAAAGGCGUAGCUGAUGGGAAACGUGUUAAUAUUCACGUACUUGUGUGUUCGCGCGAUGAAGGGACGCAGGAAGAUAGGCAAGCCGGGCGCUGGUUGUCCCGGUGCAAGCGUGUAGGGAUGAAGAGUUGGCAAAUCCGCUCUUCUCUAUCCUGAGACGCGAGUCCGUGACCGAAAGGUCUGAAGUUGUUGAGUCUAUGCUGCCUAGAAAAGCUUCUAAGUAUAGGACACGCAAACCGUACCGGAAACCAACUCAGGUGGGUGGGAUGAAUAAUCCAAGGCGCUCGAGAGAACUCUGGCCAAGGAACUCGGCAAAAUAACCCCGUACCUUCGGAAGAAGGGGUGCUUUUUAGGGUGAAGCGAUUCACUCUGUCGAGCCCUGAAAAGCCGCAGAGAAAUGGUGGUGGCGACUGUUUACUAAAAACAUAGGUCUGUGCCAAGUCGUAUAGACGACGUAUACGGACUGACGCCUGCCCGGUGCUGGAAGGUUAAAAGGAGGAGUCAGCGCAAGCGAAGCUCCGAAUUGAAGCCCCAGUAAACGGCGGCCGUAACUAUAACGGUCCUAAGGUAGCGAAAUUCCUUGUCGGGUAAGUUCCGACCUGCACGAAUGGCGUAACGAUCUCCACACUGUCUCGGCCAGAGACUCGGUGAAAUUGAAGUCGCGGUGAAAAUGCCGUGUACCCGCAGAAAGACGGAAAGACCCUGUGCACCUUUACUAUAGCUUGACAUUGGGAUUUGAGCCUGCAUGUGUAGCAUAGGUGGGAGGCUGUGAACUCUGUACGCCAGUAUGGAGGGAGCCAUCGUUGAAAUACCACCCUUGUUUGUUCAGGUCCCUAACUCUUCGCCGUGAUCCGGUAAGAGGACAGUGUCUGGUGGGUAGUUUGACUGGGGCGGUCGCCUCCCAAAAUGUAACGGAGGCAUGCAAAGGUUCCCUCAGGCUGAUUGGAAACCAGCCGUCGAGUGCAAACGCAAAAGGGAGCUUGACUGCAAGAGAGACAUCUCGAGCAGGUACGAAAGUAGGUGUUAGUGAUCCGGUGAUCCCGAAUGGAAGGGUCAUCGCUCAUUGGAUAAAAGGUACGCCGGGGAUAACAGGCUGAUCGCAUCCAAGAGUUCACAUCGACGAUGCGGUUUGGCACCUCGAUGUCGGCUCAUCACAUCCUGGGGCUGAAGCAGGUCCCAAGGGUACGGCUGUUCGCCGUUUAAAGUGGUACGCGAGCUGGGUUUAAAACGUCGUGAGACAGUUUGGUCCCUAUCUUCUGUGGGCG
rnacentral:rRNA from 1 species